UACGUAGGGUGCAAGCGUUUAUCCGGAAUUAUUGGGCGUAAAGAGCUCGUAGGCGGUUUGUCACGUCUGCUGUGAAAACUGGAGGCUCAACCUCCAGCCUGCAGUGGGUACGGGCAGACUAGAGUGCGGUAGGGGAGAUUGGAAUUCCUGGUGUAGCGGUGGAAUGCGCAGAUAUCAGGAGGAACACCGAUGGCGAAGGCAGAUCUCUGGGCCGUAACUGACGCUGAGGAGCGAAAGCAUGGGGAGCGAACAGG
rnacentral:rRNA from 1 species